UACAGCCAUAUUACGUUGGAACACCCGUUCCCGUACGAAUACUAGAAGUUAAGCAAGGUCGAGCUCUGUCAGUACUUAGAUGGGUUACUGCUUGGAAAUACCAGGGUGCUGUUA